rnacentral:lncRNA from 10 species
GAUACUGACUUCAUAAUAUAAGCUGGACGGAGCCCUGACAGCAAUGUUUGCUACGGCCUCCCUCUGCAGUCAGCCUAAAGCAAGGAGCUGGAGGUAGAUGAGGCAAAGGUAAAGGAGACCAAAACAGUAUUUUAAAGAAAAAAUCAUUUAUCUUCAAAUAGGCUCCAAACCUAAGAUGGUGUAUACUGUUAGAGGACAAGAACCUGCUUCUAGCCAUCUUUGCGUCUCCAGGACCUGACUUGUGACCAUUCAAUAAGAGUUUGAUAGAUGGACAGACUAAUGAAUAGAUGAAGAUGAUUAGAAGCCAAAAUUUCUGAAUCUUCC